rnacentral:rRNA from 1 species
GACGAACGCUGGCGGUGCGCCUAAUACAUGCAAGUCGAACGGUGAACGGGGCUUCGGCCCCCGGAUCAGUGGCGAACGGGUGCGUAACACGUGGGCAACCUGCCCCUCACUCUGGGAUAACCCCGGGAAACCGGAGCUAAUACCGGAUACUCCGGCCGGACCGCAUGGUCCAGCCGGGAAAGGUCCGCCGGUGAGGGAUGGGCCCGCGGCCUAUCAGCUCGUUGGUGGGGUAACGGCCUACCAAGGCUUCGACGGGUAGCUGGUCUGAGAGGACGGCCAGCCACACUGGGACUGAGAUACGGCCCAGACUCCUACGGGAGGCAGCAGUAGGGAAUCUUGCGCAAUGGGCGAAAGCCUGACGCAGCGACACCGCGUGAGGGAUGAAGGCCCUCGAGUUGUAAACCUCUUUCGGCAGGGACGAAGCGAUCGUGACGGUACCUGCAGAAGAAGCUCCGGCUAACUACGUGCCAGCCGCCGCGGUAAAAC